GUUAAUGCAUGGGAAAAUCAAUAAUUGAACAUAUUCCUAAAUUUUUAUAUGCACAUAGGAAAUAAUCAAAAUUAAUCUAAAAGUGUAGAUUUUGCACUUUUCAAAAUCACUGAAUAAUUUUCAUUUUUCAAGAAAUGGACUCUUUUUUUUUUUUUCUUCCUAGUUUUCUGUAUAUUAGGAAAAUGAAAACGAAUUAAGUAAAAAUCUGAUAUUUCUACAACUGAACAAUCUCUUAAUAUAUAUAAGCAAUUUCAAUUCUUUUACCUGCUAGUAUAAACAGGAGUUUGAGCUUGGGAGUUACGACCAAUCAAUAAGUUUUGAUUUAGUUAAAAUCUUGAUUGGAGCUCAAUCAAUAAUAAUAAUAAGUUCAAAUAACAAAAGUUGACAAAUAUUAUAGCUAUCUUAAAUAAACAAAAGUUGUUAUGCUUGUUUCUCAAGACAUUUUUAAGUUCGAGGAUUCUAAGUUGAAGUUUCCUUGUUAGUAUUUAUAAACUAGAGAAGGUUGCCUUUUAUCUAUACCUCCAACCGAAAAAAAUAA
rnacentral:misc_RNA from 1 species